rnacentral:rRNA from 1 species
CAGUAGCCGCGGGAAAACGUAGGGUGCAAGCGUUAAUCGGAAUUACUGGGCGUAAAGCGUGCGCAGGCGGUUAUAUAAGUCAGAUGUGAAAUCCCCGGGCUCAACCUGGGAACUGCAUUUGAGACUGUAUGGCUAGAGUGUGUCAGAGGGGGGUAGGAUUCCACGUGUAGCAGUGAAAUGCGUAGAUAUGUGGAGGAAUACCGAUGGCGAAGGCAGCCCCCUGGGAUAACACUGACGCUCAUGCACGAAAGCGUGGGGAGCAAACAGGAUUAGAUACCCCCGUAGUCCCUGUCUCUUAUAC